AGGACGAACGCUGGCGGCGUGCUUAACACAUGCAAGUCGAGCGGAAAGGCCCUUCGGGGUACUCGAGCGGCGAACGGGUGAGUAACACGUGAGUAAUCUGCCCUUAGCUCUGGGAUAGCUCCGGGAAACCGGGAUUAAUACCAGAUACGACCACUUUAGACAUCUGCCGUGGUGGAAAGAAUUUCGGCUAAGGAUGAGCUCGCGGCCUAUCAGCUUGUGGUGGGUAACGGCCUACCAAGGCGACGACGGGUA
rnacentral:rRNA from 1 species